CUGAGUAAAACGGGCGGCGGCUUCUUGUCUGGUUCCGGUUUUUGCAUGUUCCGCUUUUCUGGCAGGUCCUCCUCCUCUUCCUCCAUCCUCACAUCAUCCUUAGUUGAGAGAGGGGUGCUUUCCUCAGGUGAAGAUUAAAGGUACUAUACCCUGAACUCGUCACCAGUCAAUCGCAGGCCACAGACAACCAUUCACUCACAUUCAGUCACACCAUCACCAAGUCAGACCUGGCCCAGCCCCGUUUCCUCUCCCACACAUGAGCAACA